rnacentral:rRNA from 1 species
CCUACGGGUGGCAGCAGUGAGGAAUAUUGGUCAAUGGGCGGGAGCCUGAACAAGCCAAGCCGCGUGAGGGAAGAAGGUACAGCGGAUCGUAAACAUCUUUUGUCAGGGAACAAAGGCGGGGACUAGUCCCCGGAUGAGGGUACCUGAAGAACAAGCAUCGGCUAACCCAGUGCCAGCGGCCGCGGUAAGACGGAGGAUGCGAGCGUUAUCCGGAUUUAUUGGGUUAAAAGGGGGAGCAGGCGGCCUGUUAAGUCAGCGAUAAAAGUCCGGGGCUCAACCCCGGCGAGCCGUUGAAACUGGCGGGCUGGAGUUGGAGAGAAGUACGCGGAAUGCGCGGUGUAGCGGUGAAAUGCUUAGAUAUCGCGCAGAACCCCGAUUGCGAAGGCAGCGUACCGGCUCCACACUGACGCUGAGGCACGAAAGCGUGGGUAUCGAACAGGAUUAGAUACCCCAGUAGUC